AGCGAACGCUGGCGGCAGGCUUAACACAUGCAAGUCGAGCGGGCACUUUCGGGUGUCAGCGGCGGACGGGUGAGUAACGCGUGGGAACGUGCCCUCUGGUUCGGAAUAACUCAGGGAAACUUGAGCUAAUACCGGAUACGCCCUUUUGGGGAAAGGCUUGCUGCCGGAGGAUCGGCCCGCGUCUGAUUAGCUAGUUGGUGAGGUAACGGCUCACCAAGGCGACGAUCAGUAGCUGGUCUGGGAGGAUGAUCAGCCACACUGGGACUGAGACACGGCCCAGACUCCUACGGGAGGCAGCAGUGGGGAAUAUUGGACAAUGGGCGCAAGCCUGAUCCAGCCAUGCCGCGUGAGUGAUCAAGGCCUUAGGGUUGUAAAGCUCUUUUAUCCGGGACGAUAAUGACGGUACCGGAGGAAUAAGCCCCGGCUAACUUCGUG
rnacentral:rRNA from 1 species